AUCAAAUAGAGAUUUUUUCUUUCGACCAUAUUUCGAUUGUUAAUACGAUAUAUAAGGACCGCUACUCCAAAGAG
rnacentral:tRNA from 1 species